UGGUGAACAUCCAGCAAACAGAAGAAUUAAGAACUAUGUGGAAGCUGACAUUGUCUUGUUGUCAGCCAUAUUGCUACCCUUAGCUAUGUUAUGGUGUCUAAGAUUAUGGAACAAAGUUUAUGGUGUCUAAGAUUCUUUAUACUCCUUGAAAGACUUAUAAUAUUUUUCUGGACUAUGCUGGACUAUUGAACUAUUUUGUUAUUUUUAUUUUUAUUUUUGUAGAGUUAGCCGGAGAGAGAGGAAGUGUUAGCUUACUCAGGCAUGGAUGUACUAUGUGUGUCAUUGAUGUAUGUUGAGUGUACCAAGGAUGGAUUCCAAUGUAUUAAGUGUGGAUAUGACUGGACUAUCGAAAUAGGGAUUUGAUUAGGAGGCAUAGGACGCAAGGUCAUGAUUGGGAUUAUUGCUAGAAUUGCAAACUGAUUAGAAAUGAUCUUAUGAUUUAAUAUGUAAGUGGCCUUUUCAAACUAAUCAAGAAGUGUUUCCCAAUCCCGAUACCUGAGCUAUUUACUUACAUAGUGCAGGUUUUAUAAGUCACUAAUGCUGUCAACGUGAGGGGAUGACAUGUCUACACAGUCAUGGCCCUCACUUAGAAUUUACCCAGAUGUGCUUUUUUUCUCAAUUAUGAGUUUUUGCCACUGGGAUUUUUGACCUGGCCCAAGUUCACUGGGUGGACUGGUAAUCCAAGACCCUGGUCCAAAGAGGGGAAAUAGAUUUUAU